UACGAAGGGGGCUAGCGUUGCUCGGAAUUACUGGGCGUAAAGCGCACGUAGGCGGCUUUCUAAGUCGGGGGUGAAAUCCUGGAGCUCAACUCCAGAACUGCCUUCGAUACUGGAGAGCUUGAGUCCGGGAGAGGUGAGUGGAACUGCGAGUGUAGAGGUGAAAUUCGUAGAUAUUCGCAAGAACACCAGUGGCGAAGGCGGCUGCAC
rnacentral:rRNA from 1 species